rnacentral:rRNA from 1 species
ACUCCUACGGGAGGCAGCAGUCGGGAAUUUUGGGCAAUGGGCGAAAGCCUGACCCAGCAACGCCGCGUGAGGGAUGAAGGCCUUCGGGUCGUAAACCUCUGUCGGAAGGGAAGAAAGGUCACUGUUCGAAUAGGCCAGUGGCUUGACGGUACCUUCAAAGGAAGUACCGGCUAACUCCGUGCCAGCAGCCGCGGUAAUACGGAGGGUACGAGCGUUGUUCGGAAUUACUGGGCGUAAAGCGCGUGUAGGCGGCCAGGCAAGUCGGAUGUGAAAUCCCGGG